UUUCACUUUUUACCUAUAAUGUUCGACUCUUCGUCUUAUUCAAAAUUGUUUUACUAUUAACAUUUUUGUUUUUAUUAGAUGAUAAAUCAUGAAUAGUACUUAACAUGUGACUAAUUUUUUUUAAUUUCUUAAAAAAAUAUCAAAUAAGACGGAUGGUCAAAUGCUGAACAUGGGAACCGAAGAAUUGGUUUAUU
rnacentral:pre_miRNA from 1 species